GUUAAAAUAGAAAAGUUAGGGCAGAGGAUGAUGAAGUUAUGUUUUAGUCACUAUGAGUUUAGAUUGGUGAGGAAAAGUGAAGUGUUAAGUGAAAGGGAAAAUUUGGAAGUUUUCAUUUGAUCCUAAACAGCAGUCAGAGAUACACGAAGAAAAUAAAGAUUGUUUGCUAUUAUGGAAACAGGCAGGAGUAUGCCAGGAGGGCUUCAUGUAAUAGAGGUAAGAAGCAAAGUGAGAUCUGAUGAAAGGCUGUGAGAUUUGGUCUUUAGGUUACAUACAGACCAUGUAACAAGUUAGUACUUGCCUUCUAAUACUUAACAAACAUUCUUAGAAAUCUUUAUCAUGUAGUCACAUUCAUUCAGCCUAUUUCUUCUAUUAACAAAGUGAUUAUACAGUUACUAAAAAGAAGACUUUUGUAUUCAUGCAGGACAACAACAGGCUGGAGUUGUUGCCCAUCCUCCUGCAGUGCCUCCAAGACCACAGCCCUCACAGGCUCCUGGUCCUGCUGUGCAUCGCCCAGUGGAUGCCGAUGGCCUCAUAACUCAUACUAGUACCUCACCUCAGCAGAUACCAGAGCAACCAAAUUUUGCAGAUUUCAGCCAGUUUGAAGUAUUUGCUGCAUCAAAUGUAAACGAAGAACAAGAUGAUGAAGCCGAGAAACAUCCGGAAGUCCUGCCGGCUGAAAAAGCUUCUGAUCCUGCAAGCUCUCUUCGAGUUGCCAAAACAGAUAGUAAAACUGAAGAAAAGACAGCUGCUAGUGCUCCUGCCAAUGUGAGCAAAGGCACAACACCACUUG
rnacentral:sRNA from 1 species